UGCUCUUUGAACGUCUCAAUUUGCCAGUCCCCACUCCCACUUUGCCCCAUCUUGCUCCAAGGCUGGCAAACUUUGCUGGAGAAAACCACAAAAGUACUGAUGGAGCUGUCUGCCACUUGUGUCUGUCUUGGCCUGGACCUCAGUGGCAUUAGUCAUCUGUAUGAGAUCAGAAGUUUGAAGAGGCUUGAUUGGUUCUCAAACACUGGGCCAUUCCUCAAGACAUCCACCCUGGCUCUCCUUCAGAAGACUGGCUCUGGCUCUGACAUCUGCCUCAGGUCUGGAAACUGAGAAAAUGAUCAAGAUCUUUCACUACAGCAGCUGACAUCAGUCUUUGGCUCACCUGCUCUUGACACAGUUCAGGCAACACAUUCCAAUCUUACUGCUAGGAACACCACAGUUGCUUAGUAACUGCUCCCUGGUUCCUCCAAAUAAGGGUCCAAGUUGCUGUUGCAACUUUUCUGCUGUUACAAUCAUCUGUCCACCUUGCCUUUGAUGAUUAAGUGCUGUCAACUGUGCUGCGCUCUUCCUGAAGCCUAUCAUCCUAAAUGUCAUCCCCAACACUGUGGAAGCCUGGACCCACGGCAGCCUAGAAAGGACAAUCACCCGGAGCUUCUCAACAAUGCUGGUGGCUCCCUCACUGGCAUAUUCCUUAUUUUACUAGUAAAGAGUGUGCUUUCUGGGUUCUCUGAGAGACUGGUUAAUUGGUAGGUUCUCUGGUCUCAUAUGAUAAAUCUAUUUCUGUAUGCCUAUCUCACUGAACAUUCUAGCCCUUCUGCUGCCAAGGCAGUUCUGGCAUUAACAUCUCAUUUACUCGAGGCCAUCAUUAUUUCCAAGUUGUAGGUCAUUAUCUCAGCAGCAGAGUAGGACUGGCUCUAGGUGUCCUCACCAGCAUGCUAAAUCUUGAGUCAUGGGAGAGUGCCCACAU